UACAGAGGGUGCAAGCGUUGUUCGGAAUUAUUGGGCGUAAAGCGCGUGUAGGCGGCAUAGCAAGUCGGGUGUGAAAGCCCUCAGCUCAACUGAGGAAGUGCGCCCGAAACUGCUGUGCUUGAGUGCCGGAGAGGAUGGCGGAAUUCCCCAAGUAGAGGUGAAAUUCGUAGAUAUGGGGAGGAACACCGGUGGCGAAGGCGGCCAUCUGGACGGUAACUGACGCUGAGACGCGAAAGCGUGGGUAGCAAACAGG
rnacentral:rRNA from 1 species